UGGGGAAUAUUGCACAAUGGGCGCAAGCCUGAUGCAGCCAUGCCGCGUGUAUGAAGAAGGCCUUCGGGUUGUAAAUUACUUUCAGCGGGGAGGAAGGCGAUAAGGUUAAUAACCUUGUCGAUUGACGUUACCCGCAGAAGAAGCACCGGCUAACUCCGUGCCAGCAGCCGCGGUAAUACGGAGGGUGCAAGCGUUAAUCGGAAUUACUGGGCGUAAAGCGCACGCAGGCGGUCUGUCAAGUCGGAUGUGAAAUCCCCGGGCUCAACCUGGGAACUGCAUUCGAAACUGGCAGGCUAGAGUCUUGUAGAGGGGGGUAGAAUUCCAGGUGUAGCGGUGAAAUGCGUAGAGAUCUGGAGGAAUACCGGUGGCGAAGGCG
rnacentral:rRNA from 1 species